UAGAUUUUAAGUUAGAUAAACUAUAAACCUUCAAAGUUUAAAAAAGAAUAUAUAUUUCUAAAUCUAA
rnacentral:tRNA from 1 species